CAAGUGUACAGAAGGGUCUCUCCUGCGUGGGGAACACCAGGGGGCUGGUUUCUAGCCGCCAGAGAAGACAGGUGGGGUCUGGAACUUGCGGAGAGCGCCCCCCAGUCCCAAGGCCCUGAAGAAGUGGUACACUGCUCUUGGAAGAGGAGGCAUCCUUUCCCCAGACACGUCGGGGGCUAGAAAUCCCCCAGGCCCGACGCCCUCCGGAGACGCUGACGUCAGCCCGAGCGGCGGCCGCGGAGCGUUUCUGGCUUUGACAGCCAUUUGAGACUGCUGGGGAGAAGACAGGCGCUCUGACCCUGGCCCCCAAUCAGUGGUUUUUAGGCCUGCAAGCCAUAGCAUUUUAGAGCAGGCAGAAGGGCCUCUCAAGCCAGGCUGGUGUCCUUUGAGUCAGGGGUUUCUGGGUGCCAGGCCCGGCACUCCCAGCUUCACACCUGCACAAGGGAGACACUGCCUGAGCUGCAGGUGGGAAGAUGGAUACAGUGAACACGGUCCGAAGCAGCCUGCCCGAGGCCCCACCGCGGAGCCUGACUUCACGGCUGAACUCUGCCACCUGAGUUACGCUUCUCCACGAGAGUUGGUGGAUCACGUGUUCCUGUCCUCGGGCUGCCGGGAAUGAGAGAAACCUGUGGUCAAGCAGGCCUG
ensembl:lncRNA